GAUGGCUGCCUUGCCAAGCAUCUGAACUAGAAAGAAAUUCUAUGUUUACACUGCCUCAAAGAUACAGUAUUUCAGAUGACCUGAAGCUGGGAAGGAGAGUGAAGAUGCCAAGUGACGGAAACUUAAAUUGUUAAUCAUGAUAACUCCUGGGUCAAGUUUGACAAGAUAAAAUUUAAUACAGGUAAACAUAAAAGUCCUGUAUUGGCUUUCAAAACCAACUGCACAUACCCAAAGAGAAGCUGUGGCUAGAAAGACACGGGAUGUUUGGGAGGCCGCAAAUUACAAAGCUGCUUAUUAAACUGAGAGUUUACAAGUCAACAACAUGAGUAUUUGGCCAAGUCUCGUAAUUUUGCUGGUGAUAAUCUUGUACCAAUGGAGGUCAAUAAGUGUUGAAUGAUUUAAAGUUUUAACAACUGCCUAAGAUUAGGUUGAUUUCCCUAAGUCAAUCCCUAUAUGACAGAGAUGAGAGCUGAGAGAUCAUGCUGUUGUCAAGGAUGGUGUUCCAUUUAUACCAACCCUAUGUCAAGAGUAUGAUAUGGUAUAUAAUACAAGGCAGUAUCAA